rnacentral:lncRNA from 1 species
GGGGCCACGUGACCCGGCGGGCCCGGCGCUCUGGCGCUCCUCUUCUUCGCUGCCUGUGGGCACCGCCGCUCGCUCGCACUUCUGCGCCCAUCGGAGCUUCGGAGAUCCCUGCGGUCCCGCGGGACGGCGCGGCAGCAGCUAACCUCGCAGACAGGAUCUUGCUCUCUUGCCCAGACUGGAAUACAGUGGUGUGAACACGGCUCACUGCAGCCUCAACCUCC